AUACGGAGGGUGCAAGCGUUACUCAGAAUCACUGGGCGUAAAGCGCGCGCAGGCGGGCUGAUAAGUUGGAUGUGAAAGCCUACGGCUCAACCGUAGAACUGCAUCCAAAACUGUCAGUCUAGAGUGUGGGAGAGGAAGAUGGAAUUAGUUGUGUAGGGGUAAAAUCCGUAGAGAUAACUAGGAAUACCAAAAGCGAAGGCAAUCUUCUGGAACACUACUGACGCUGAGGCGCGAAGGCGUGGGGAGCAAACAGGAUUAGAUACCCUAGUAGUCC
rnacentral:rRNA from 1 species